UACGUAGGGGGCAAGCGUUGUCCGGAAUCAUUGGGCGUAAAGAGCGUGUAGGCGGCUCGAUAAGUCCGCUGUGAAAGUCCAGGGCUCAACCCUGGAAGGCCGGUGGAAACUGUCGGGCUAGAGUCCGGAAGAGGCGAGUGGAAUUCCCGGUGUAGCGGUGAAAUGCGCAGAUAUCGGGAGGAACACCAGUGGCGAAGGCGGGUCUCUGGGCCGAUACUGACGCUGAGGAGCGAAAGCGUGGGGAGCGAACAGG
rnacentral:rRNA from 1 species